UCCAAUGCGAACACUGUUUUUCUUUAGCUUCUUCUUUACUUCCUGAACUCCAGGAGGCCUUGCUUUGGUGAAGAAGAAGCUAAAGGAAACCCAAGGCCUCCCCGUCGGGAGGCUUUUUUGUU
rfam:Gallaecimonas xiamenensis 3-C-1 contig4, whole genome shotgun sequence.